rnacentral:rRNA from 1 species
AUUGAACGCUGGCGGCAGGCCUAACACAUGCAAGUCGAGCGGAUGAAGGGAGCUUGCUCCUGGAUUCAGCGGCGGACGGGUGAGUAAUGCCUAGGAAUCUGCCUGGUAGUGGGGUAUAACGUCCGGAAACGGGCGCUAAUACCGCAUACUUCCUGAGGGAGAAAGUGGGGGAUCUUCGGACCUCACGCUAUCAGAUGAGCCUAGGUCGGAUUAGCUAGUUGGUGGGGUAAAGGACUACCACGGCGACGAUCCGUAACUGGUCUGAGAGGAUGAUCAGUCACACUGGAACUGAGACACGGUCCAGACUCCUACGGGAGGCAGCAGUGGGGAAUAUUGGACAAUGGGCGGAAGCCUGAUCCAGCCAUGCCGCGUGUGUGAAGAAGGUCUUCGGAUUGUAAAGCACUUUAAGUUGGGAGGAAGGGCAGUAAGUUAAUACCUUGCUGUUUUGACGGUACCAACAGAAUAAGCACCGGCUAACUUCGUG